rnacentral:rRNA from 1 species
GACGAACGCUGGCGGCAUGCUUAACACAUGCAAGUCGAACGGGAAGUCCUGCUUUCCCUUGUGGAUUGCGGGUACUCGCGUAGCGAACGGGUGAGGAACACGUGAGUGAUCUGCCCCCAACUUGGUUAUACGCCUGGGACACUGGGUCUAAUUCCCGAUACGACUGCAGGGUGGUGCCUGUGCUGGAAAACGAUUUUCUAGUGGAUGGGGAUGGGCUCGCGGCCUAUCGGCUUGUGGGUGGGGUAAUGACCUACCAAGGCGGCGACGGGUAGCAGGCCAGAGAGCGUGGACGGCCAGAUUGGGACUGAGACAAGGCCGAGACUCCUACGCGAGGCAGAAGUGGGGGAUAGUGCGCAAUGGGGGGAAGUCUGAAGCAGGGAAGCGGCGUGGGGGAUGACGGCGUUCGGGUGGUAAACUCCUUUGGAUCGUGAGGAAGUCUCCUGGUUGGAAGGGUGGUGACGGUAGUGGUAGAAGAAGCACCGGCUAACUACGUG